AGGGCGCUCCUGGUGACAAAGGCAGACAAGGUCCUCAGGGAAGAGACGGACCAAAGGGUCAAACAGGAGCACCUGGGUUUCCAGGUGAUGUUGGCGAGAGAGGCUACACUGGUUAUCCUGGACAGCAAGGCCCAAUUGGAAAGAGCGGUCCGAAGGUACACAAAUAAACUGAGGCACUUUUAUUCUGCUCAAAUCUUUUUUUUCAUGCCCGAGUGUCUGUAUUUAAGUGCACCUAGUCAUCCUUUCAGUUUCCAGAUUAUGGCCUUCAUGAUUCAGCCUGGGAAGAAAACUUUUGCAUUUUAUGAGUCUGAGAGUCACUCUGGCUCCUGGCCACAUUUCACAGGAAUCUCACAUAAAUAUUAUUACUGCCCAGAGGGUACAUUUUUUUUUCCAGUUUGGAUAUCUCAUUUCUGCCCUUUUGCGAGACCCACAUCACAAACUAAUGAAUCAGCCAUAAAAAUAGCAAAACUGUCUAAAGCCAAGGCACACUGUUAAGAGCUGGUAAAACUCCCUACAAAAAAGCUAAAAUAAAGGGAAUGAUGUAAGUAUGGGCAAUUAAAGAAUUUAGUAUUAAUGUAACACACAAACAUAUGCAGUGUUAGUUGACUCUAAGUACACACUUUAUUAAGCUGAAUAAAUGACAAAAACACUUUUGUAUAACAGUAUACAUCACUGGCUCUCAAACCUUUUCUAACCUAUUUCAGCCUAGAAGCCAAAAUAAGUUAUAGCAACACACAAUAAAAAAAACAAAAAGAAUAAAAAUGGUUGAAGUUGAAUUUUACUUAAAUGUGCCAGCACAAGCACAUUUAAGCACUUAAGCAUUUAAGCACACUUGCCUUCCCCCCCAAAUAUUGUAUUGUAAUUUAUUCAUUUGUUUAACUUUAUAUUUUUCACCUGUUUGCUGGCACCUCACCAGUGGUCCUACUGAGACUUCAGAGUAGCAGUCAGAAAAACUUCAUGUUGACUGAAGG